UCCGCAGGCGGGCGAUUAAGUCAGGGGUGAAAUGGUGCGGCUCAACCGUAGCACUGCCCUUGAUACUGGUUGUCUUGAGUCAUAGUGGAGUGGCUGGAAUAUGUAGUGUAGCGGUGAAAUGCAUAGAUAUUACAUAGAACACCAAUCGCGAAGGCAGGUCACUAACUAUCGACUGACGCUGAUGGACGAAAGCGUGGGGAGCGAACG
rnacentral:rRNA from 1 species